UUAUUAACAUAUAGUGGUAGGCUAAUUUUAUUUGGCACAGCGUCAGGUUUUCAAUUUGCAUUGUAGAUUUUUUAUCAUAUGCAUAAAAAACUAACAACAGGCAUAUAUUUUUUCACAUAAUGAUUGACUUUUGAUCUGCACGAAGAGGAGAGCAUGGUUGCUACCUUCUUAGUUAAUCCAACCACAUAUUUAUCCUGCAAGAAAAUAUUCGAUAAAUACCUGUUAGCAAAUUACUCUAAUCCUUUGUACAAAAGAAAAGCAAAUAAUGGUCCGCCUUGGUUGUUCGUGCAAAUGAUAGGAGUGCAUUAAAUGAUUGAAUGGAAAAGAAGUUAGGUACCAGAUCAUGAUGAUAUUGGUCCACUGCAACAUCUCCAUUGCUUCCAUCAAUUAUUCUGCCUCCAUUUACCAAAAUAGGAAAAAUGAGGGAAAUAUAAAAAGAGAAGAAAGGUCUCUAUUCAGCGGACAAAUUAGCACAAUAAACAUAAAAAACUGACGGAACAACAUCAUUUGAAAAAUAUUGAGUGAAAUAAUAUGUUUUCAUCUUGUUGUAAUUUAGAAGCAUGAUAGUUAUUAUUCUUUAAAAUAAUGACAUUUAAUAAAUGUUGCGCUUUUUAAAGCGCGAUAAAGUGAAAGUCUAAUAUUUUGGCUCAACCAGUUGGUUGAUUAAUAAUGGUCAGUGAAAUCAGUUAACUAGUUUUUAAAAUAAUAGAAAAAAUCUCAAGAUUGUAAAAAAUAGGAGGCCUCAAUAAGAUUUUUUAUAUCUAAAGGUCUGAUAGUCUGCAUAAUAACGCAGUAGGACAACUAUUGUUUGAAUUAUAUUUUUUUGAGAUUUUAAUUAGAGUCUAUUUUUAAGUUUACAAGUUGGAUAAAAAUGUAUAUUCUAACUCAUAAAACAUAUUUGAAAAAAAAAUUCAUAAAAACAUGAUUUUUAUGUGAAACAGUCGACCAACUUAUAUAACUAGAUCCCACCAACCGAUCGGUUGCGUCAAAAGAUUGGACUUUUAUCUUGUCGCCCUUCAAAAAUGUAACAUUUACUAAAUAUCGUUAUUUUUUAGCGUGACAAUAUAGUUGUCAUGCUUAGGAAUAACAACAUUUAGUAAAUGUUGCGUUUCUAAAGCGCUACAAGAUGAAAGUGUGUUAUUUCAUCAAAAGUUUUAACAAUGUUAUUCCUCCAAUAUUUUAUGUUUAUUGUACUAAUUUGACAAAAAAAACAAACUAAAUUGAGCUUUAUCCAUGUUUCUUUUUAACAUUUUAAUUGUAAAGUUAUUAAACUUAACCUUUUCCAUGACCUAAUCCAAGAUCUUGAUUUCGAGUUAAGCAAAUUAACCAAUCAAUUAAAACAACUUAGUUCAUAUAUAUAUAUAUAUAUGCUAUAACAAAUAGAAAUAAAUGCUAUAACAAUAAAAAUAAAAUAAAUUUUUGAUGUGAAUGAAGAGGGAGGUCCAAUAAUGAUGCGAUUCUCUAAAAAGCACAAAGCAUAUUUAUAAUUUGCAAAAAUGUAAAAACAAAAAUGUAAAUAAAAAUUUUAAACAAUAAUAAAAAUAGUAAUAAAUAAGAUUUGAAGAAAUCUUACUUAAAUUUUUAUUGAAAAUGGAUAUAAGAGAUAUAAGUACAGGGAAUUUUAUAUAUGGUUACAUGAGGAUCCUGUAAUUGGUUUUGUUUACAAAGGAUUGUCUAGAAAAUUUCCUUCUAAAGAGAAAUUCUAUUUCAAAGUUGUGUCUUGAAUGAUUGAGAGGAGUCCCUUUUUAUAGAGCAGUUUGAGGAAGACAUCUUUGAAUUUUUAUAAAGCAAUUAUGUUGCUUUUUGAAAAGUUGAUGUAGUUGUUUGAUAUGAAAUCCCACCACCAAAAGUCUAAUGUCUUCUUCUCCAAGUGGAGAAACAAUUUUGGGUUGCAAAGGCCAUCAAAAGGUUUAAAAAUGAAAAUCGACUAUAAAAGUUUUUGGGCCUCUUAAAAUACUUUUUUAAAAAAACUUUAAUGACAUUUACAUCUAUUGACAAAAAUGCAUAUGAUUUGUGUAUACGAGGAAAAAUGUCAUAACUAUUAUCUUCAUUGAUUUUAAAUUUUCUAGUGAGCAUGAGAUAAUUUAAAAUCAAAUAGUGGGAUUUUUUUACAGUAAAAUUGAAAAGUUCUAAUCUAGCAGUUUUACAAUGGUUGAAACAAAACCAAAAGGCUGAGAUUAAAGACUCAAACCCUCAAUCCAAGUUCUUAGCUCAAAGAUCUCAUGCUUUUACACUUUUAGUUGCAGCAAAAUCCGAAGAAGAAUACUUUGUGAUCAUGAAGCACCUCCUAUACAAUGAAGAUGAUAGUUUGUGAUCAUGAAGCACCUCCUAUACAAAAAUCAUAGGUAUUUUCUACAUAUAGAAGUAAAUGUCAUUAAAUUUUUAUAUAUAAAAAUAUAUAUUUUAAGAAGCCCAAAAAUGUUUUUGGUCGAUUUUCAUUUUUAAACCCUUUCAAGGCCUUUGCAAACCAAAAUUGUUUCUCCACUUGCGUAAGAAGACAUCAGACAUUCAGUGGUGGGAUUUUACAACUACAUCAAAUUUUUAAAAAGUAAUAUAAUUGCUUUACAAAAUUCAAAGAUGUCUUCCUCACAUUGCUCUAUAAAAAAGGACUCCUCUCAUGCAUUCAAGGCGAAAGAUCUAAAUGGAAUUUCUCUUUAGAAGAAAAUUUCUCUAGACAAUCCUUUGUAAACAAAACCAAUUACAAUAUCCUUAUGUAACCAUAUACAAAAUUCUCUACACUCCUAUCUUUUAUAUCCAUUUUCAAUAUAAAUUGAGGUAAGAUUUCUUCAAAUCUUAUUUAUUAUUAUUUCUAUUGUUGCUUAAAUUUUGCAUUUACAAUUUUGUAUUUAUAUUUUGCAAAUUAUAAGUAUGCUAUGUACUUGUUACAGGAUUUCUUCAUUGCUAGAUCUACCUUUUCAUUUAUAUCAUAAAUUUAUGUUAUUUCUAUUUCUAUUGUUUUCUAUUUGUGUUAUAUAUAUAUAUAUAUAUAUAUAUAUAUAUAUAAUUAAAGUGAUUGUUUUAAAAAAAUCAAACUGAGUUGAUAAGAUAAUGGUUGUCCUAUUAGAUGGAUCCAAUCUAACUAAAUCAACUCUCACCCAAUUUAUUUUAAAACUCGGUAAGAAUCAAUUCCCAGUCGGCAGGUAUUAUUAUUGGAAGAUGUUUCUGGCAAUCUAGGAUGAAAGAUUACCACUGUGAGAUACAGAAAAGGAGAGUUUUUCUCACCUGGAUUGCGGGUAUAAACAUACCUGUAGCAGAAAGAGGAGAGGAGAGUAGCAGAAGAAACCAAAUCUGAUAAGCAGAGGAAGUUGGAAGGAAAUAGAGAGGGAUCUAAGCCCUCUUUAGGGGUUUCUAGAUGAGAAGAUAUCAAGGGUGGUAUCAAGAUCAGCUCUAAUACAAAUAGAGUUUAAAAGAAUAUUCAAAGAAUUCCAAUGGCAGGUAAGUUCACUACCUCUGGCAGGCUUUGUCAAGACAGUUAAAAAGGUUGUAGUGUUCUUGUAGAUUCAGCUGAUGUAAUGAAGAUCUGUUUUUCUGCUAAGACUAAGCCCAUAAAGUAGAAGAAAAUUGUGUGGACAGGAGAAAAGAUAAUUCUUCAGAGCAUGAAUAACAAAGUAUCAUGGGACCUUUUUUCUG
rnacentral:lncRNA from 1 species